UGCUGGCUGUGUUUACAUAGUUUGUCAAUUACUUGGACUUAAAGUGACAGUCCUAGUCAGACUUAAACUUUCAUGAUUCUGAUAGUGCAUGCAAUUUUAAACCACUUUCCAUUUGCUUUGUUCUUUUUGUAUUCUUAGUUGAAGGCUAACCUUGGUAGGCUCAUAAGCCAUUGGAGGCCGCCUCUUAUCUGAAUGUAUUUGACACUUUUUCACUGCUAGAGGGUUUUAGUUCAUGUGUUUCAUAUAAAUAACAUUGUUCACACGGCUGUGGAGUUAUUUAAGAGUAAGCACAUUUAUUGCCUGACAUGCAAGUCUGUCAAAAGAUCUGAGAUAAGGAGGCAGUCUUCAGAAGCUUCGAUACAAGUUAAUCACAGAGCUGGCUUGUUUGGAAUAUCUGUCCAGCUCAAAAAUGGCUCCAGCGGUUAAACAGCUGAUGGCAUGGCAGAAUGGAUUUAUGGAAACUUCAAGCAUAUGACGGCUUAAUUUUCUUCCACAAGGUUGUGAGACCAGUUUGCAGGUGAUGCUAAAGUUAACAGAUCUACAGCACCUGUUGCCAUACAGCCAACACUUUGUCUAGUUCAUUGUCAAAAGAAAUGUCUGUGCCUCCUUUGUUAAAACAGCUGGCUUGUUUGGAAUAUCUGUCCAGCUCAAAAAUGGCUCCAGCGGUUAAACAGCUGAUGGCAUGGCAGGAUGGCUUUAUGGAAACUUCAAGCAUAUGACAGCUUAAUUUUCUUCCACAAGGUUGUGAGACCAGUUUGCAGGUGAUGCUAAAGUUAACAGAUCUACAGCACCAGUUGCCAUACAGCCAACACUUUGUCUAGUUCAUUGUCAAAAGGAAUGUCUGUGCCUCCUUUGUUAAAACAGAUCUAGCAAUGUGAAGCGAGAGGCCAUGAUGUACAAAGAGGUCUUCACCUCAACUGUGUUUGCUGACAUCCAGGCUGCAAGUUGAUUUUGUUUUAUAUACAGAUCGUCAAACACUGGACAAAAUGUCUACAUGAAACAGUUCUCCGUUACACCAGCCCAGGUGUUUUAACAGCUGGAGUACGCGUGUGUUUUGUGCAACUCUGCUGCUCUCACAACUUGUGUACCCAUGGAAAGGGGUUGUCCUUGGCGUUCCUGUUUGAACUAUAAACCUGGCUGUUUAAUACAAUGCUAAUAAUGUUUCUAUCUGUUCUAUUAAUAAAGCUGUGACCUAUCUUA